CAAGUCGAGCGAUGAAGCACCUUCGGGUGUGAAUUAGCGGCGAACGGGUGAGGAACACGUGAGAAAUCUGCCUUCAACACUGGGAUAACUCCGGGAAACCGGGGCUAAUACCGGAUAUGAAACCUGCGGGCAUCCGCGGGUUUGGAAAGUUUUUCGGUUGAAGAUGAUCUCGCGGCCUAUCAGCUUGUUGGUGAGGUAAUGGCUCACCAAGGCGACGACGGGUAGCCGGCCUGAGAGGGCGACCGGCCACACUGGGACUGAGACACGGCCCAGACUCCUACGGGAGGCAGCAGUGGGGAAUAUUGGGCAAUGGAGGAAACUCUGACCCAGCGACGCCGCGUGCGGGAUGAAGGCCUUCGGGUUGUAAACCGCUUUCAGCAGGGAAGAAGCGAAGGUGACGGUACCUGCAGAAGAAGCACCGGCUAACUAUGUGCCAGCAGCCGCGGUAAUACAUAGGGUGCAAGCGUUGUCCGGAAUUAUUGGGCGUAAAGAGCUCGUAGGUGGUUCGUCACGUCGGAUGUGAAACUCUGGGGCUUAACCCCAGACCUGCAUUCGAUACGGGCGAGCUUGAGUAUGGUAGGGGAGUCUGGAAUUCCUGGUGUAGCGGUGGAAUGCGCAGAUAUCAGGAGGAACACCAAUGGCGAAGGCAGGACUCUGGGCCAUUACUGACACUGAGGAGCGAAAGCGUGGGGAGCGAACAGGAUUAGAUACCCUGGUAGUCCACGCCGUAAACGGUGGGCACUAGUUGUGGGGACCUUCCACGGUCUCUGCGACGCAGCUAACGCAUUAAGUGCCCCGCCUGGGGAGUACGAUCGCAAGAUUAAAACUCAAAGGAAUUGACGG
rnacentral:rRNA from 1 species